UCUCUCUCUCCCCUUCAUCUCUCACUUUCCACCAUUGUCAACCAUAGAUGAGACCUCCGAAGCUUCACAAAACUAUGCCAAACACAUAAAUCACCAACAAAAUCCCACAUAAACACUUUCUAGCUACUUGAAUUCAAGAGAAUCCUUGAAGAUUGGCUUCAAGACUAGAGAGAGAAAGUUUGAUGUUUGGUGUAAACUUGGGCCCGAGCGAGACGAAGAAGUAAGUUGCCUGAUUUCUUUCCAGGAUUAGCGAAGGACUUCAGGCUAAGCGAGGAGCGAGAUUGGUCUGGUGCUGGUGGGGAAUUGUUGAAGGAUGUAUUUACUUUAUCGUAUUUCUAUUUUGACGAUAAAGUCUUGAUGAUUGAUAUACUUUGAUUUUCUUUUGAAUUUAAGCAAUGUACUCACGGUUAUAUGUCUUCAUACAUAUAAUCGGUUCGCCUUUUGCUGCGAUACUCUGCAUAUUAUGAUUCCUUACGAAAAAUGAGCGAUACCCGUUUUGUUUUUGUUUGUGAAAUUCCUGAUAAUUAAAAAGUUAUAACGACAUUGACGAAUU